UACAUAGGUCUCAAGCGUUGUUCGGAUUCAUUGGGCGUAAAGGGUGUGUAGGUGGCGCCGUAAGUCGGGUGUGAAAUUUCGGAGCUUAACUCCGAAACUGCAUUCGAUACUGCGGUGCUUGAGGACUGGAGAGGAGACUGGAAUUCAUGGUGUAGCAGUGAAAUGCGUAGAGAUCAUGAGGAAGACCAGUGGCGAAGGCGGGUCUCUGGACAGUUCCUGACACUGAGACACGAAGGCCAGGGGAGCAAACGGG
rnacentral:rRNA from 1 species